CGGCAGGGAAAAGCAAAGAAACGGAGAGCUCAUUGACGCGUCUACUUCUCUUUCUCCUGCAUCAUCUUCUUCAUUGCAUCAUCGAAACACUUAAAAGAAAAGAACCCUAAUCGACUGUGGAGCUAAGGUUAGAUUCUGAAUCCUUAGGGAAUUCAGAAAUUGAAAGGUUCUGGAAGCUUGUUCACUAGGAAGCCACUCUGAAGUUUGUUUUAUGACAGACACCAGCUUUACUCCUCCAUGAUGAUGUUUGCACUUAGAAGUUGAGAUGUUACAGGAGUAUAACCUGGCUUCUGAUAGAAAAUCUGCAUUCAUCAAAAUUUUAAUGGACUUAUCAUUCAUGUUAAAAUCAAAUUUUAUUUUUCUAUAGUCAUAGAUAAAAAUUUGCAAAAAUUUCCCAAUUAGAUACCGUCCUACAUCAUCAGGGGAAAAAUAAGAUUGAUUUUUGUAUAUGCUAAUCGUAACACAAAGGUAUCAGUUGAAAAUUUUUGUAGGGUGCUAGUUUGUCUGACAACUAAAGCACAGACAAUACAAAAGGGAAGCAAAAAUAAAUUUUCAACUCACUGUUCAUACAUCUGCACAAAUUCAUUAGCUAUUGGAUCAGAUAAAGUAUAGUUAUCCAAUAGUAGAAAAAUUAAUGCACAUUUCAGAACUUCAUAUUCAAUAUCUUUCAAUUGCAAAUAUAUAUGUUUGUCACUUAAUUAG
rnacentral:misc_RNA from 1 species